rnacentral:lncRNA from 1 species
GGGGAAGAGGGGUGGGAGGGGAAAUCUUUAAAAUAAUUUGUUUUAAAUUGGUCAAAACCCUUUCUAUUUGACCUUUAAUUUUUUUUCUUUAAUUUUUUUGUGUGUGUUUAAUGACAUGGCUUUAAAAUGAGAUGGCAUGACAUAAUUGUUCAUUUAAUCCAUGUGGAUAUGUUUGGUCAACACGCGCGUAAGGUCAACAGAAAAUUGUGAAAAAAGUGUCAAAAUAACACAACGG